rnacentral:rRNA from 1 species
CAAUAGCGUAUAUUAACGUUGUUGCAGUUAAAAAGCUCGUAGUUGGGUUUCUGGAGGGAGCGUCGGCCCGUAUUUACGAGUGCGUGACGUCUCUGUCCAUCCUUGCGGGAAGGCACGGCAUUGAUUUGUUGUGUCGGAUCGCAUCAUUUACUGUGAAAAAAUUAGAGUGUUCAAAGCAGGCUUUCGCUUGAAUACAUUAGCAUGGAAUAAUAAGAUAGGACUUUGGUGCCAUUUUGUUGGUUGAGCCUAAAGUAAUGAUUAAUAGGGAUAGUUGGGGCACCUGUAUUGCGUUGUCAGAGGUGAAAUUCUUGGAUUUACGCAAGACAAACAGCUGCGAAAGCGUCUGCCAAGGAUGUUUUCAUUAA